UCCCUUGUGGUCCAGUGGUUAGGACUCCACUCUUCCACUGCAGUGGCCCAGGUUCGAUUCCUGGUGGGGGAA